rnacentral:rRNA from 1 species
GAACGGGUGAGUAACACGUGGGUGAUCUGCCCUGCACUUUGGGAUAAGCCUGGGAAACUGGGUCUAAUACCGAAUACACCCUGCUGGUCGCAUGGCCUGGUGGGGGAAAGCUUUUGCGGUGUGGGAUGGGCCCGCGGCCUAUCAGCUUGUUGGUGGGGUGAUGGCCUACCAAGGCGACGACGGGUAGCCGGCCUGAGAGGGUGACCGGCCACACUGGGACUGAGAUACGGCCCAGACUCCUACGGGAGGCAGCAGUGGGGAAUAUUGCACAAUGGGCGCAAGCCUGAUGCAGCGACGCCGCGUGAGGGACGACGGCCUUCGGGUUGUAAACCUCUUUCAGCACAGACGAAGCGCGAGUGACGGUAUGUGCAGAAGAAGGACCGGCCAACUACGUGCCAGCAGCCGCGGUAAUACGUAGGGUCCGAGCGUUGUCCGGAAUUACUGGGCGUAAAGAGCUCGUAGGUGGUUUGUCGCGUUGUUCGUGAAAACUCACAACUCAAUUGUGGGCGUGCGGGCGAUACGGGCAGACUGGAGUACUGCAGGGGAGACUGGAAUUCCUGGUGUAGCGGUGGAAUGCGCAGAUAUCAGGAGGAACACCGGUGGCGAAGGCGGGUCUCUGGGCAGUAACUGACGCUGAGGAG